rnacentral:rRNA from 1 species
AGUCACUGACAUUAGAUACCCGCGUAGUCCAGGGUGUAAACGCUGCAGACUUGGUGUUGGAAGUCCUUUGGGGGCAUUCAGUGCCGGAGAGAAGUUGUUAAGUCUGCUACUUGGGGAGUACGUCCGCAAGGAUGAAACUUAAAGGAAUUGGCGGGGGAGCACCACAACGGGUGGAGCCUGCGGUUUAAUUGGACUCAACGCCGGAAAUCUCACCGGAUAGGACAGACAUAUGAUAGUCGGGCUGAAGACUCUACUUGAUGAUCUG